GUUUUCCAACAGGAAAGACAAAGUAAUUUAUUUAGAAUGUUUCAAAGCCAUAUUUCUCACAAACCUUAAUGGGUGGAAGUAAGUGGAAAUGGAUCUCUUUUGCCUUGAUGGUAUCAUAAAAUGAACUGCUCAUGUCUGAGCCAAGACAGGCUGAGCCUCCCAGGCCCACAGAGAAGCAGAAUCGCACAGCCGUGUCAGCAUACGCUGAAGGGCACGAAGCCAGGUCAGGGCUUCUUCCCCACUGGCUGGCUGCACAGAUGGACGGAUUUGGGCCAUAAAGGAAGCAGGCCGUGGGGAGGGGCUCUGUUCAUCUGUCACUUUAGAAAAUAUUUUAAAAGGAGGUUUGAUUUGCAUAUAUAUGCUGCCACAGAGCACAGUAUCUUGUGAGAUUUUUAAAUAGCAAGGAUAAAACAGUUUACCCUACUAAAUGCAGAUACAUCGAAACAUUUUCUUCGUACCAAAGUCAUUCUAUACGUCAUUGAGUUCACACAGUCCACCUGGGCACUUACGGAAGGAACACUUGGCAAAGCCUCAGAUGCUCUGCCAUGUUGCUAAGCGCUGCCACCCCCAGGAAAGGAGAAGCUGGUAAGCUUCUAAAUUCUACUCACUUAGACUGAAAAUGCUGACCGAGGAGCCUCCCUGGCACCUUCAGUGAAGCCAGGUUCCUCACGUUCAUGCCGGUGUGCUGCAGCGUCUGAGUGUCCUUCCUGCCCACCUGCCAGAGCACCAAGGGGAAGGCCAUGGUGGCCGUGAAGACCUUCUCCAUACGGCCUCCAGCCUGCGGUUACUGGGAGGCACAUUGGCUCCAGAGUGCUUCAUAAUCC
rnacentral:lncRNA from 1 species